AUAAAUUAAAUCACAGUUUACAGUGAAUAUAGUAACUUUGUGAUUGCAAGACAGAAAGAGAAACCAAUGGCAAGGAACAACGUUACACAUACACUAGCAAUAAUAUUGAUGAUAACUAAAGUGGUCAUUUCUUCUGCCAUUAUUGUUGAAUUUCAAGAUACCAUUAUUGUUGAAUUGCCAUAUUAUAUGGCAGCAAGUGUUAGAGAGUGUGUCGACAAAUGCAUUAAACGACAUGAUCGCCGUAACAUCAUGUUUUUGAGCGCAUGCCUUGUCAAGUGUUAUAUGAUGGACUCCCUCACUAGUACUUUAGUAGCGAAUAGAGAAUGCUUGAAGCAUUCCUUUGGUCCAGAAGAGACAACACCAAGCUAGCUCAUCAUUACCAACAAAAGUCGUUGUUACGUUUGAUGAAAAAAAGUGUUCCCUUAGAUCUAAUACCUUUAAUUUGCCCUUGAUUAUUAAAGACAAUGUUAUUCGUAUGUUUCAAGACCUGCUUCCUUGAAAUGAAAUGAAAACUGUGUAAUUUAACAUUAA